rnacentral:rRNA from 1 species
AUUGAACGCUGGCGGCAGGCCUAACACAUGCAAGUCGAGCGGAAGAAGGGAGCUUGCUCCUGGAUUCAGAGGCGGAAGGGGGAGUAAUGCAUAGGAAUAUGCUUGGCAGUGGGGGAUAACGACCGGAAAAGGGCGCUAAUAACGCAUACGAGCUGAGGGAGAAAGUGGGGGAUCUUCGGAACGCACGCUAGCAGAUGAGUGUAGGUCGGAUUAGCUAGUUGGUGGGGUAAAGGCCUACCAAGUAGAGGAUCCGUGACUGGUCGGAGAGGCUGAUCAGUCACACUGGAACUUGAACACGCUCCAUACUCCUGCGGUAGGCAGCAGUGUGGAAUAUUGGACAAUGGUCGAAAGCCUGAUCCAGCCAUGCCGCGUGUGUUAAGGAGGCCUUCGGAUUGUAAAGCACGUUAAGGUGUUAUGAAGCGCAUUAAGUUAUUACCUUGCUUUUUUGACGUUACCAACAGAAUAAGCACCGGCUAACUUCGUG